rnacentral:rRNA from 1 species
GACGAACGCUGGCGGCGUGCUUAACACAUGCAAGUCGAACGGAAAGGCCCUGCUUUUGUGGGGUGCUCGAGUGGCGAACGGGUGAGUAACACGUGAGUAACCUGCCCUUGACUUUGGGAUAACUUCAGGAAACUGGGGUUAAUACCGGAUAGGAGCUCCUGCUGCAUGGUGGGGGUUGGAAAGUUUCGGCGGUUGGGGAUGGACUCGCGGCUCAUCAGCUUGUUGGUGGGGUAGUGGCUUACCAAGGCUUUGACGGGUAGCCGGCCUGAGAGGGUGACCGGCCACAUUGGGCCUGAGAUACGGCGCAGACUCCAACGGGAGGCAGCAGUGGGGAAUAUUGCACAAUGAGCGGAAGCCUGAUGCAGCAACGCCGCGUGCGGGAUGACGGCCUUCGGGUUGUAAACCGCAUUCGCUUGUGACGCAGCGUGAGUGACGGUAAUGGGUAAAGAAGCACCGGCUAACUACGUG